ensembl:lncRNA
GUGGAGGCUAUAUACAGGGUAUUACGGUACAGAGUCAAUGUGGAGGCUAUAUACAGGGUAUUACGGUACAGAGUCAAUGUGGAGGCUAUAUACAGGGUAUUACGGUACAGAGUCAAUGUGGAGGCUAUAUACAGGGGGUACUGGUACAGAGUCAAUGUGGAGGCUAUAUACAGGGUAUUACGGUACAGAGUCAAUGUGGAGGCUAUAUACAGGGUAUUACGGUACAGAGUCAAUGUGGAGGAUAUAUACAGGGGGUACCGGUACAGAGUCAAUGUGGAGGAUAUAUACAGGGGGUACCGGUACAGAGUCAAUGUGGAGGAUAUAUACAGGGGGUACCGGUACAGAGUCAAUGUGGAGGAUAUAUACAGGGGGUACCGGUACAGAGUCAAUGUGGAGACUAUAUACAGGGGUACUGGUACAGAGUCAAUGUGGAGGUUAUAUACAGGGGUACCAGUACAGAGUCAAUGUGGAGGCUAUAUACAGGGGUACUGGUACAGAGUCAAUGUGGAGGCUAUAUACAGGGGGUACCAGUACAGAGUCAAUGUGGAGGCUAUAUACAGGGGUACUGGUACAGAGUCAAUGUGGAGGCUAUAUACAG